rnacentral:lncRNA from 1 species
GUCGUGAAUCGCUCCUUCCCACCUUACAGAGAGGGAUGUCCCUGCCCCACCCCAGGCAGGAGAAGGGCUUAUACUGCUCGCCUGUCGCUGUCGAGUUGCUCUGUGCUUGCUCAUUCUAGCUAGUCGUGACGACCUCUCAUUAUUCUUUUUUCCAGUCGCCUUCUUCCUUUGUCUUUUCCUUAUGGCACGACUGAGCUCGUGUCCGUCUCAGUCUCUGAUUAGCGAGUUCAGUUGCUUGCUGGGCGGUAGAGUCGCUAGACUGACGACUGAGUGCCCUCUCUAUCGCCUUGAUUGUCGGUAUAGUCCUCAUUCUUGCUAGCUCACUUGGAUUCUCUCUCACUAGCUUCCCUCUCGCUUGACUCACUCUGAUUCUGCACUUGCCGAGUGAGCAUAGCUUGCAAUCACUCUGAGUCUCGCU